UAUCAUUUUGAAUGAUAAAUAAUCAUAUUAUAACGAAAAAUAAACUUUUCUGAAAACAAAUAUUUCACUAUCAAAUAUAUAUAUAACAAGGUAUCCAGCUCAAAAUCAACCGAUUUUGAGCGAUGCACCCCGUUUUCAGGUGAUUUUGAGUUUGAUACCUUGUUAUAUAUAUAUAACAAUUUGAUAGUGAUUUUUUUUCAGAAAAGUUCAUUGUAUAUAUAAGCAAACCAUUGGUUCUUAUGCUGUUCUGUUUGUAUUUUUAUUUGUUAUUCCUAUCAUGACAUUGUAUAUAGCCUGCUUUACAUGUGUGUAUAUUAUUUUUUUCAAUAGAUGUUUUGGUUUAACUUGUAAAAUCAAAUUAGAGGGUGGUAUACGGGAAUCACUAUAAAAGUCUUAAGUCUGUCCGUCCGUCAGUCCGUAGACACAAACACAUUCUGUCAGUACUUAAACACUUUACAACUAGAAAGUUCAAACGUGCAUGCAUUAUUGAUACAAAGCUCUGCAUGUACAUAUUGUAUUAUACUACGUAAGACAUUCCUUAAUUACUGCCUCUAGAGAUUCAUUUAAUCAUUUAAAAGUAAGAAUGUCAUUUAGAAAUAAUUGUACAUGUCAAUACAAGGAGUGUCAUUGAAAUUAAAAAAUCUGAUUCUAAUUGUUCGACUAAAACACAUAAAAGUACAUUCCUGUGCAUAUUUUUUAAACUAACAUAUAUUUAAGUUGUGCAUUUUUAAAGCGAGUGUUAUGCUUUGUUAUCAAAUUUGUCAUAAUAUGCUUAAUUUCAGAUGUAUAUAAGUAUGUAUCAUUUAUAGUAUGCUACAUAUAAAAUGUUGAUCAUUAUUUGCCAGUUCACAUUUUUAUCUAUAUGUCUCGUUACGCCUUUGACAUAUAUAUUGACAUAUAUAUUUGUAUUAGAAAACACAUUAAGUACAUACAUCUUUUGUGGUAUACAUACACAUACAUCACAAAACGUGUGAUUUAUCGGUGAUCUGAUAUACAACGAGGCGCCAAUGGCUAUAAUCUCUGUAGUAAUUGUAUCCCAUACUGUUGUAAUAUUGCCAACUUACAUAUGUAAAAGCUUUUUUCUUUAUUGUAUGAAUUUGUUUGAAUGCAUUAUAUCCUAUGCGUGCGUGUUAUAUAAAAACACUUAUUUUGUGAAUAAAAACGGAUCUAUCAUGUAUUACAUUGUAGUGUGUGAAUAUAACAUUUUAAAAUGCGUAUCUGAACCUUACAAAUGUAUGGUGUACAAUGUCAAUUUUUGAAAUAUGUAAGUUCGUUAUUAUGCGAUUGCCAGUCAUGUAUUAACGAUAUAACUUACAGUAUCAUCUAUCUCAAUGUGUUUUUAAAUAUUAACAUUUAAGACAUGUGGCAUGCCGCUUAAUGAGGGUUUCUUUAGUUUUUAUUGUUUUGUUAUAUUGUUUGUAUUUUUCUCGAAAUUAUCGCAUAAUGAUAAUCCCUUGCCAUUUUUCCAGAUUUAUUUUUUUCUAAAAAAACAUGAUGGGUUCGAAUAAAAAAUACAAACGUAAAAUUUUAAUUAUUCAUUUAAUCUCAUGAAUACGUGUGAAUGCACUUUAUGAAAAUGUGGUACUUUAUUUUUUUAUUGUUGUAAUAUAUACUUAAAGAGGUUAUACCCCUUUAUUUGAAACAUGAUAAUAUGACAUACAAUAUUGUCUAUUUCAACCGAUCCUCAUGAACGCACUAUUGAAAUAACAUCCUACUGUUGAGAUACACAUAACACGCGCAGUAUAGUGACGUCAUUGUGUGAAUGAAAAAUAUUUAUUUUUUAAGAUUUGGAAUGAGGCCGAAUUUCGUCAACAAAUCUGACUAAAAUAACUACGCUGUUAAAUAUAUUUGCCGAAAACGAAUUCCCACCAAUUGUUUUAUUGUGGUAAUAUAUGUUUGAUGACUUAAACAAGAACAUUAAUAUGACGUAAGGUUUAAGAUUACUUAAAAGAAAUUAUGUUUGUAUGUUCGAUAUUUAAAUUUUACUUAGGGUAUUAUUCUUACAGUUAAAAUGUAUGCUUCAAAGCUGCAUGUAUCAAAUAUGUCGUUUUUUAAUUAUGCUGUUAUGUAUCGAAUACAAUAACUACUUUUAAUGUUACGAGGUAUAAUAAAAUAGACCUUUUAAAAGAAAUUUUGUUUAAAAUAACGAAUAAUUCUUAUGUCUGUAUACACGUUUUAACAUUAUAUAAACGCAAACUAUCUGGCACUAUUGUAUCGCUCUUAUUGAUUUGUUAUGGGUUUGCAUGUGUAAAACGUGUUUUUUACGAACAUAAAAAAUUACGUUGUGUUCGUGCAUAACUUUUAGUACUAUUUUAAACACAUGCGAGAUUCACAGAUAAAUUGAAAUUAAAUAGUGAGAUUUGUUCCAAAAUUUUAAUAUUGUUGUCUUUUAAAACAUUUUUCUUUUUUGUAAAAUUUAUUUUUAGUAAACAACAUGUUUCGGGUUCUAGACAUGCUGGCCAUGCAGCUGAAAUGCUGAGUUUGUAUUGUAUAUUACAUUUAUAUCAUAAGAUAAUAUUACAUGUCGAUAUGCAUUUUCGUAAAGUUUGUUAUGUGUUGAUAUGUUUUUAAUGUUUCCAUAUAAAUAUUUUAGUAUAUAAGUAGAUUGGGAAAGGAUUGUAGCACAGAGAGUUCGUUCAUCAAACGUCACAGAUUAGUGUAUGCGUAACUUAUUUUUUAUUUCAAUAAAUAUUGUAUUUCAUACUUGGAAAUGAAUAAUUAAUUAAUGGCAAACUAAUACAGUAAAAAGUAUAAUCAUAUAAUUGUGUGACAUAAUUUAAUAUUCGGGUUAAAUUAAAUAUUGUGACCCAAAAAACCUAAAUGAUUUGUAUAAUCGAAACUUCUUUCCCGAUGUCUUUUUCUGCCAAUGCUAUAUAUUAUAUUGAAACGAAACAUAUUUCACGACAAAUGUUGUAAAGGUAUGUAUGUAUUCGUGGUGUCCAUCGUUGACACUUCAAAAUCCUCACUGUGAUUAUUGCUGAAACAUUGCAGUAAUGAUUGUUUAAAAUUUACGUUAUAUAUCUGUAAAAAAAACUACAGAUAAAAUAUCGCAAUGAAAGAUAAAUAUUGUUAAGUUUGAAAUAUAUUAUUUACAUGUUCUUGAUUAUUUACAGGUUGCUUGCUAUUUUUACCAUGCUUUUAGAAAUGUACCUGUUAUAGAUUUGGUAUUUAUAAAGUACACUGUCAUUCUUGCGCUUUACACAAAUAUUCCACAAUUGUGACCAAAAUGAUAAAAUACAAUAUGAAGAAUAAAACUAUUUUAAUAAAAUAAAUAAUCAUUCGCACUUAGUUAAGCGGCGGCAAUGGUCAAUGUAGAGCAUUAAGGUUUAUCACUGUGAGGAGUUUUGUGUUUGUGAUAACUUGUAUUGUAUAAUGAGUGUUCCAUGCAUGCGAAUAAAAGCAUAUAUUAUUUAA